rnacentral:lncRNA from 1 species
AGCUUCUUACUGAUUUUUCUUAUUCACACCCUAAAAUCAAGGAGCGCCACUGCCAUAGCCUACGGCGAUAUUUAUUGUUAGGAUUAUAAAUAACCCACAUCCCUGCCUUUUUAGUACCGACCCCUUUUAUGUAACCUCAAUAUAACCCCGCCCCUUCGAAAGGUUAAUAUCGUGCGUUCGCUGAGAGGGCUUCUUUCACAAUAGGCUACUGCUUCUGUCAAUCAAACGUCGCCCCGCCCAACUUCGUUUGUACCACUCCAAUCCAGUUUUUCCUCCCGUCCUGGCGAAAUGUAUCCGCCCCGCUGUCAGUCUUCCCAAACUGGGCGCUUGUUUUCUGUCCCACCGGAGAAAGGAGCGACCCAGCUUUACAUAACUGAAAGGUCAGUGCUCACUGCUAGCGGCUAACGCGGGUCAAAACAGCUCAAGCCAAACACCCAGUGCCUUCCGCCCGCAGUAGAUCUAGCCUGGAGAUGCCGCGCGAGGCAGGUUAUUCAUAGUAUCUGAUGUGUUUGUAUAUCUAACGGGACAUAACUUGAAUGUCAGCUUGCCCUCAUGCACGGAUAGCUAUCAUUUGGCAGUGAGGAUGGGUGGAUGUAGAUUGUGUGUUGUGUUAAUAUGGUGCUGCAUGUGAUCAUGUACUAAGCAGUGCGUUCUAUGUCUUUUAAAUGAUAUACUGAAUCAACUGAUUGAACUGUACUUUUGAUGGGUUUAAUCUACUCCACUGUUUUGGCUGACACUCAUUACACCUGUGCUUAUGAUGAAAGAUGCUACUAUGAUCCAUCUUUUAGUUGACAGCAGUACUAAUUCUGGGAAUGCAUUUUGACUUGAUUGAGAAGAGCACAUACUGUGGAGCGGUGCAUUGAGGGAAAACAAAGGUUUUAUAAAAAGGAUGUAUUAAACUGAUUUAAAAAAAGUGAGAGUAGAUACAUUUAAAUUAUUUUUUUCCCCAAUAAAUGCUAGUUCUGAACUUUCUGCUCAUUUAAAUAUUCUGAAAAAUAUAUCAAGUGUUUCCACAAACAUUAAUUAGCAUAAAACAGCAUAUUAGAAAGAUGAUGUGACACUGAAGACUGGAGUGACAGCUGCUGAAAAUAAAAUUUUGCCAUCAUAGGAAUAAAUUACAUUUUAAAAUAUAGUAAAACAGAAAAGAAUUAUUUUAGAUUGUAAUAAUAUUUUACAAUUUUAUAUUACUGUUUUAACUGUAUUUAAUAAAUGCAGCCUUAAUGAGCUUUAAUAGACUUCUUUCAGAAAUCUUACAGACCCUAAACUAUAUUCACAAGUGACACCAGUCUAGACAAAUCUGCUUUAUUGUAUUGCUACCACUAAUAAGUUAUGUUUAACGUAGAUUUUUUUUUUUUUUUAUUUAUAUUAUAAAGUAUAAAUUCCAAACUACUGUCUGGUGCAGUAUUUUUACUUCCCGGCACUAACCACCUAGGAACUGUGCCACGUUUUCUGAGAACCAGCCACUUAUGUGGUUGUCUUAGUCACCAUUGAUCUGUAGCGCUGUCAUUUUCCAGUCAGUCGUACGACUAGUUUUUUUUGUUUAUUGUUGUUAUAACAGUCCAUCACAGCCGAAAGACGUUCAUCCAACCGUUCCCUUUAGCUGAAAGACUAUAGGGUUUAUUGUUUAUCUGAUUAUUUGGAAAUAUUUGAAAGAAAGUGUAAAAAGGUUUUGUAGUCAACAGUUUGUUUUUUUUUUUUAAACAUAUAUGAUUAAAUAAUACUGUUACAGUCUGUUUUGGUAAGGUAUAUAGUGUCAUUAUUUUAAUUUUUUUGUACUGUAUAUUGUGCAAUGUUUGUGUUUAUGUAAAUGGAA